rnacentral:rRNA from 1 species
GAUGAACGCUAGCGGCAGGCCUAAUACAUGCAAGUCGAACGGGAUCCAGAUCAAAGCUUGCUUUGGUUUGGUGAGAGUGGCGCACGGGUGCGUAACGUGUGAGCAACCUACCCUUGUCAGGGGGAUAGCCCGGCGAAAGUCGGAUUAAUACCGCAUGACAUCAUUGAGAGGCAUCUUUCGAUGAUCAAAGAUUUAUCGGACAAGGAUGGGCUCGCGUGACAUUAGCUAGUUGGUAAGGUAACGGCUUACCAAGGCUACGAUGUCUAGGGGCUCUGAGAGGAGACUCCCCCACACUGGUACUGAGACACGGACCAGACUCCUACGGGAGGCAGCAGUAAGGAAUAUUGGUCAAUGGACGGAAGUCUGAACCAGCCAUGCCGCGUGCAGGAAGACGGCCCUAUGGGUUGUAAACUGCUUUUAUACGGGAACAAACGUCGGUACGUGUACCGGUCUGAGUGUACCGUAAGAAUAAGGAUCGGCUAACUCCGUG